CACGGGUGGUCAUACACAUAACACACAUAAAGGCAAUGCUCUGGGGCAUUCUGUCUGUGACAAUCCUUUUGGGGCCUUGGUAAAUCUGUGGCCUUACUGAGUCUUACUUUAAGCAAAGGAGGUUGAAGAACGUCAGCCCAUGGUGCGUCCAGGAAGAAGAGGUGACUAGCCAUGGGUGGCCUGCCAGCUGCCUCCCCCAUCCUGCGGCAGAACUUCUUUCAGACUGAGUCACAUCAGAUCAGGCUACAAGUUGACCUGAUCAAGAAAUUCUUCAGACCCUCGUUUAUAUCUUUUGGCUAAGUGAACCUGGAGAAGGAAUUGUAAAUUACGGAAUAAUAGUCAAAGUUUGAAAAGGGGGAUCUGCCAGGUAGGAAAUAAAUUCUCUUUUAAAGAACCCACUUUAUUUGAAAUGAAGGAAAAAACUGAUGGAUGGCUUAAAAGGAAAUGUUUGACUGAAGCCUGCCUGCUGUACCCAUAGCUACCUGCCCACAAGAAUGUGGCUCCCUGGUGACAGCUGCACUAAUUAUAGAAAAACAAGUUGAGUGGAAGAAGACGAAUUAUGUAAAUUUACAUUGACUGAGGAUCCUGUUGGAGCAUUAGGAAUUUUGAUUAUUAAAAAUAAAUCCAAAAUGUUCUUACGUGGCAAAGGAAUUGAACUGAAGGACAAUUUGCUAGAGUCUUAGCAUGAAAUCUGGAUCAGCAAAAAUAACAUUUAUUAACGUUACUGUAAACUACUUGCAGGUAAGAGCCGUUCUGUGGAUUUGAGAGGGAAUCUAAAGUCUGUUUUGGGCUGUAAGUUUACAUUUUGGUUUUUGUUUAUAAAAAAAAUAUGAUACGUACUCCCCAAAUCACAUUUUUUUUCAUAAACUCUUGCUGUUAAAAUAGAAGCCUGAAACUUUCUGUGUUCCAUUUCAAGCAGUUUUCUUAUUCUAAAGUAUAAAUCUAGCUUAAAAGCUUAGGAUUAGAAAACAGUGAAGAAUGGAAAACCACUCAAUCUUCUGAAAGAAAACAUUUUUUUUAUUUGUGUUCAAAGAUGGGCCAUUGAAAUCAAUACCUUAAUAAGGAUGUCAAACAGGAUUCUUUACACAUUCAAAAAUUUGAUAAAGUCAGGUUUAGUGACUGUGUUCAUAAAAGCCAAUGCACCUGGUGGUUAAAAAUUUUGCUUAGUGAAACAUUACUCAACACUUAAUUUAAUAUGCUGUAAUUAAAAAGAAUUUUUUAAUGUUUAUUCGUUUUUGAGAGACAGAGAAAGAGACUGAGCACUAGCAGGG